AGUUUGAUCCUGGCUCAGAAUCAACGCUGGCGGCGUGCCUCAGACAUGCAAGUCGAACGAUUAAGACUUCCUUCGGGAAGUGCAUAAAGUGGCGCACGGGUGAGUAACACGUAAGUAAUCUACCCUCGAGUGGGGAAUAACGUUCGGAAACGGACGCUAAUACCGCAUAACGCAGCGGCACCGCAAGGUGACAGUUGUUAAAGGAGCAAUCCGCUUGAGGAGGAGCUUGCGGCAGAUUAGCUAGUUGGUAGGGUAAUGGCUUACCAAGGCUACGAUCUGUAUCCGGUCUAAGAGGACGGUCGGACACACUGACACUGAAUAACGGGUCAGACUCCUACGGGAGGCAGCAGUCGGGAAUUUUGGGCAAUGGGCGAAAGCCUGACCCAGCAACGCCGCGUGAAGGAUGAAGUAUUUCGGUAUGUAAACUUCGAAAGAAUAGGAAGAAUAAAUGACGGUACUAUUUAUAAGCUCCGGCUAACUACGUG
rnacentral:rRNA from 1 species